rnacentral:lncRNA from 1 species
UAAAAAUAUCUUAAUAUAUCAUCGUUUAUAAGUUUUAAGAUUAAGGGUAUUUUAAUAAUUUUCAUUCUCAAAACUAAAACAAAAAGCCCAAACCCUUGCCUACCUUUCUCAUUCCUCUCAACCAUCUUUCUUUCAUCUAUCUUACUCCAAUUGUUAUCCCUACGCUAGUCCCAACUGAAAAUAUCAGAAAUACUCAUCUAACUCUUAUCUAUCUUCCUCACUUAUCCAAUUUGUUUCUCUCUCAUCUCCAUACUUUCCUUCACCCACACACAAUAACCUGUGACACCGCAAU